GAGUUUGAUCCUGGCGUCAGGAGUGAACGACUAGCUACAGGCGUUAACUAACAUGCAAGUCGAGGGGAAACGACAUCGAAAGCUUGCUUUUGAUGGGCGUCGACCGGCGCACGGGUGAGUAACGCGUAUCCAACCUGCCCACCACUUGGGGAUAACCUUGCGAAAGUAAGACUAAUACCCAAUGACGUCUCUAGAAGACAUCUGAAAGAGAUUAAAGAUUUAUCGGUGAUGGAUGGGGAUGCGUCUGAUUAGCUUGUUGGCGGGGUAACGGCCACCAAGGCGACGAUCAGUAGGGGUUCUGAGAGGAAGGUCCCCCACAUUGGAACUGAGACACGGUCCAAACUCCUACGGGAGGCA
rnacentral:rRNA from 1 species